rnacentral:rRNA from 1 species
AGGACGAACGCUGGCGGCGUGCUUAACACAUGCAAGUCGAGCGGAAAGGCCCUUCGGGGUACUCGAGCGGCGAACGGGUGAGUAACACGUGAGCAACCUGCCCUUAGCUCCGGGAUAGCUCCGGGAAACCGGAAUUAAUACCGGAUAUGACCUAGGCCGACAUCGGCUGUGGUGGAAAGUUUUUCGGCUGGGGAUGGACUCGCGGCCUAUCAGCUUGUUGGUGGGGUAAUGGCCUACCAAGGCGACGACGGGUAGCCGGCCUGAGAGGGCGACCGGCCACACUGGGACUGAGACACGGCCCAGACUCCUACGGGAGGCAGCAGUGGGGAAUCUUGCGCAAUGGGCGAAAGCCUGACGCAGCGACGCCGCGUGGGGGAUGAAGGCCUUCGGGUUGUAAACCCCUUUCAGCAGGGACGAAGCGAAGUGACGGUACUGCAGAAGAAGCGCCGGCUAACUACGUGCCAGCAGCCGC